rnacentral:rRNA from 1 species
AGAGUUUGAUCCUGGCUCAGAUUGAACGCUGGCGGCAUGCCUUACACAUGCAAGUCGAACGGUAACAGGUUAAGCUGACGAGUGGCGAACGGGUGAGUAAUGUAUCGGAACGUGCCCAGUCGUGGGGGAUAACUGCUCGAAAGAGCAGCUAAUACCGCAUACGACCUGAGGGUGAAAGCGGGGGAUCGCAAGACCUCGCGCGAUUGGAGCGGCCGAUAUCAGAUUAGGUAGUUGGUGAGGUAAAGGCUCACCAAGCCGACGAUCUGUAGCUGGUCUGAGAGGACGACCAGCCACACUGGGACUGAGACACGGCCCAGACUCCUACGGGAGGCAGCAGUGGGGAAUUUUGGACAAUGGGCGCAAGCCUGAUCCAGCCAUGCCGCGUGCGGGAAGAAGGCCUUCGGGUUGUAAACCGCUUUUGUCAGGGAAGAAAAGGUUCUGGCUAAUACCUGGGACUCAUGACGGUACCUGAAGAAUAAGCACCGGCUAACUACGUG